rnacentral:misc_RNA from 1 species
CCUGCCCACUCACUCACCCAGUAGCUUUCAACCAUGACAGACGUUCUCUAGCAGUGUUCAGGGCAUCAGGUAGAAAAGUAGCUAAAAUCAAGUGCCUGCUGUAGAAAAUUCAUUUGGAAAUUGAUAAAAAAUAAAACGGCAUAUAUACUCUAGAAGUCUGCAAGUACAAUUUCAACGAGAUAACGUCGAACAUCACACAGUAUAAGAAGCACCAUGCUGACGGAGGCGCUAUUGGGAGUCCUUCUGUUUGUGUUGCUCUUCGCCUUCGUCAACAGAAGGCCUGAAAAUCUCCCACCAGGGCUAUGGGGUUUGCCAAUAGUAGGGAAACUUCCCUCCGACGAAGAGUCUCUUUACGACCAAGUAGAGCGGCUGAAGAAGAAGUUUGGUAACACCGUAUCGUGGCGCAUGGGCAGCCGGAUCUUCAUCUUCUUCUGCGACUACAAGACCAUCAAGGCCGCCUUCGCCAAACCGGAGUUCGCUGACAGGCCGGACCUCUACAGCCUCACUGUCUUUAACCGGUUCUCCAAUAACGGUAUAAUCGUCUCCAGCGGUCUAAUUUGGCAAAACAACCGAAGAUUCACCCUUCGUCACCUGAGGGACCUCGGCAUGGGCAAGACCCGCUUGGAGGAAGCCAUCCAGCACGAGGCCGUCUGUCUGGUCGAGGACUUCGCGAGACACACGGGGCGUCCAGGUCCCCUCCCCUCGUCCAUCAACGUGGCUGUUCUCAACAUCAUCUGGCAGAUGGUUGCAGGCAGACGCUAUGACGUGAAUGAUUUCGAAAUCCAGAAGCUAAAUCAGGCCACCAAUUCGUCCUUCGAGGACUUCCAAGGAGUCCAGUGGUUCGAUUUCAUGCCGUGGAUAGUGCCCCUCGCGCCCCACUUCCUCAAGAAGUGGAUCGGCGCGGUUGAUCUGAAUGACAAAAUAAAAAUGAUCAGUCAGCAUGUAGCUAAACACGUGCGGGAGCACCAGGCGACGCUCGACCCCGAGAACCCCCGCGACUACAUCGACGCCUAUUUGCUGGAGAUGGAAGCCCGGAAGGACGACCCUCAGUCGACCAUGAGCAUUGAAGAUUUGCUGUGUUGCCUGUCCGACCUGUUCAAUGCUGGCAGCGAGACCACGGCCUCCACCCUCCGCUGGGCCCUCCUGUACCUGGCCAAGUACCCCGAAGUCCAGGCCAAAGUCCACAAGGAGAUCGACUCCGUGGUUCCGAGGGACGUUCUUCCCUCCAUUCUGCAGAAGAACAGUCUGCCAUAUCUGGAAGCUGCCACUCUAGAAGUUCACCGAAUAGUGUCUUUUGCUCGCCUGGGAGUUUACCAUGCGUGCGCCAGAGACACGGAAUUCGAAGGCUACAUCAUACCUAAAGGUGCCAUUCUAGCAGCUCAUCAGGAAGGCUGCCACAUGGACCCCGCCUAUUGGGAGAAACCUUACGAAUUCCAUCCUGAACACUUCCUCGACGACCAGGGGAAGGUUCUCACCAAGAAGGAAGGAUUCUUGCCCUUUGGUUUUGGUCGCCGCCAGUGCCUCGGGGAAUCGCUGGCUCGCAUGGAGCUCUUCGUCUUCCUCUCGGCUCUGCUCCAGAACUUCUCCUUCUCGGCUCCCGAAGGCCAGGAAAUAAGCGUGGAGAAGGACCCUAAACUUCCACUUCUCAAUUUACCGAAACCAGUCGACAUCAUUAUCACAAAGCGGAUAUAAUGAUCAAGUUAGAAGGUCUUAUGUGCUGAAUUCUGCGCUAUUGGGGACCUACCAACGAAGUAAUUUAAAAGAUAGAGAAUGAGAGACGUCCUCCAGGACCGCUCAGGACAACAAGCAUCCUCAAGCAGCAUCUUCCACGACCGCACUUCGUCUCUCCUCGGCACAACGCCGGUUUGUCCUCUUGCAG